rnacentral:rRNA from 1 species
AAUAUUGGACAAUGGGGGUAACGCUGAUCCAGCCGUGUCGCGGUUGUGAAGAAGGUCUUCGGCUUGUAAAGCACUUUAAGUUGGGAGGAAGGGCAGUCAGUUAAUACCUUGCUCUUUGGACGUUACCGACAGAAUAAGCACCGGCUGACUACGUGCCAGCAGACGCGGUAAUACGAAGGGUGCAAGCGUUAAUAGGAAUUAAUGGGCGUAAAGCGCACGUAGGUGGUUUGUUAAGUUGGAAGUGAAAGCCCCGGGCUUAACCUGGGAACUGCUUUCAUAACUGCUGAGCUAGAGUACGGUAGAGGGUAGUGAAAUUUCCUGUGUAGCGGUGAAAUGAGUAGAUAUAGGAAGGAACACCAGUAGCGAAGGAGACUACCUGGACUGAUACUGACACUGAGGUGCGAAAGCGUGGGGAGCAAAC